rnacentral:lncRNA from 1 species
GAGGAGCAGAAGGAGGCAUACUCCGUGGGAGACGGCAUAACCAGCCAGACAGCACUGGCUCUCAGAGGCAGAGAACAAAAGGGACGGGCUUAGAGGGAGAAGUGAAGCCCAUUUCAAAAGAACUCCUAGAGACAGCCGUGCCCACUCGCCCCCUCACCAGCUUUUCUUUAAUUACUGAGUCUGCACGUGAUGUUCCUUAUACCACCUGGACUCUCACCAAC